rnacentral:rRNA from 1 species
AUUGAACGCUGGCGGCAUGCUUUACACAUGCAAGUCGGACGGCAGCACAGAGAAGCUUGCUUCUUGGGUGGCGAGUGGCGAACGGGUGAGUAAUAUAUCGGAACGUACCGAGUAAUGGGGGAUAACUAAUCGAAAGAUUAGCUAAUACCGCAUAUUCUCUGAGGAGGAAAGCAGGGGACCUUCGGGCCUUGCGUUAUUCGAGCGGCCGAUAUCUGAUUAGCUAGUUGGUGGGGUAAAGGCCUACCAAGGCGACGAUCAGUAGCGGGUCUGAGAGGAUGAUCCGCCACACUGGGACUGAGACACGGCCCAGACUCCUACGGGAGGCAGCAGUGGGGAAUUUUGGACAAUGGGCGCAAGCCUGAUCCAGCCAUGCCGCGUGUCUGAAGAAGGCCUUCGGGUUGUAAAGGACUUUUGUCAGGGAAGAAAAGGCUGUUGCUAAUAUCGACAGCUGAUGACGGUACCUUAAGAAUAAGCACCGGCUAACUACGUG